AAAUAUGUAAUUGAAUAACUCAACAUAUGGAAAAGUAUCUGGCCACAUAAACAACUCAGAGCAACACAAAGGUAGGCAAGCAAGCAUAAAACCAUUUAGCUGUUCUGAUUGGGGUAAAAGACAGAAACAGAAAGGUACUUGGGAAAAACACAUGAAAAUGCAUACAGCACAAAAACCUUUUGGCUGUUAUGAAUGUGGUCAAAGAUUUGGAGUAAAGAGCCAGCUGAACACACACAUGAGAAUUCAUACAGGAGAAAAACCAUUUGGCUGUUCUGAAUGUGGUAAAACAUUUGGAAAAAAGAGCAACUUGAACACACACAUGAUAAUU